UACCCGCUGGAAUUAAGCAUAUCAAUAAGCGGAGGAAAAGAAACUAACAAGGAUUCCCCUAGUAACGGCGAGUGAAGAGGGAUCAGCCCAAAUUUGUAAUCUGGCUCUUUCAGAGUCUGAGUUGUAAUUUCAAGAACUGUUUUCUGCUCUGGACCAUGUACAAGUCUGUUGAAAUGCAGCAUCAUUGAGGGUGAGAAUCCUGUUUAUGAUAUGGACUACCAGUGCUCUAUGAUACAGUCUCUAAGAGUCGAGUUGUUUGGGAAUGCAGCUCAAAGUGGGUGGUAAAUUCCAUCUAAGGCUAAAUAUUGGUGAGAGACCGAUAGCAAACAAGUACCGUGAGGGAAAGAUGAAAAGAACUUUGGAAAGAGAGUUAACAGUACGUGAAAUUGUUAAAAGGGAAACAGUUGAAGUUAGACUUGUUGUUGUUGGUUCAGCUCUUUAAGGGUGUUUUCUGAUAAUUAACAAACCAACAUCAAUCUUUGGGUGUUGGAUAAGGGUCAUUGAAAUGUAGCAGUCUUGGCUGUGUUAUAGUCAUUGACUUGGAUACAAUGCCUAGGAUUGAGGAUUGCAGUAAGCCAUUUAUUUGGUGGGACAAUUUAUUGUUCUUCUUACUGAGGAUGUUGGUGCAAUAGCUUUAAUUGACCCGUCUUGAAACACGAAC
rnacentral:rRNA from 1 species